ensembl:lncRNA
CAUGGGGGAAAGAGAGAGGGGGUUUCUUGGUCAUUCAAGACAUCAGGAAUGUACUGAGCCCUGGGCAAAGCUGAAAUUUCUGGACUUGAUAAAAAGAAUUUGUCAGAAAGCAGAAGAUGGCCUAAUAAGGGACUUCGAUAUGUCUUUGGAAGCACCAAAGAAAAAUUUGACCUUCGCUAAUGCCUCAAUCAGCAGCUUGACUUCAGGGCAUCCUCAGAAGUGACCAGAAAUGAAAUUCUCAAGGCACUUCCCAUAGAAUAUAUUAGGCACUCAAGACGAAGGCACUGGUAAUUCAGCUCAAGGUAUGUAACUAUCACACAGGAAUUAUUUUAUAAAGUAUGGGUGUCAGCAGAUAUAUUUUUGAAAUAGAAUUGAGUGUGAAAAUCUUUGAGUGACAACGUAUCAUUGUACUAUUUAGUGCCUUCCAGUUUUAGAGGAGAGUGAAAAAUGUAUAGUCAUUUAGACUUUUGACAUUGUGGGUGUACUUUAAAAUGAACGUGACAGUGAAUACUAUUCUUGAAUUGUCUUUUGAUACCAAAAAAAGAAACACACAUUUGGCUUACUUAACAUAUCUGUAGACACAGAAGAUUAUAUGAUUCCUUCCCCUAGUUAAGUCAAUCCCUGGUCAUGGUACACACCGCACAUUUGGGGAGUGGUUUCUCUUUGCAAGUACUUAUUAUGAGGUUAGCUCAUCCUCCUGGCCAAAACUGUUUCAUGAGCUU